ACACGUAGGGGGCGAGCGUUAUCCGGAAUUACUGGGCGUAAAGAGUGCGUAGGUGGCUUUGCAAGCGUAGGGUAUAAGGCGACAGCCCAACUGUCGUUGGCCCCGCGAACUGUAAGGCUUGAGCACAGGAGGGGAAGGCGGAAUUCCUAGUGUAGCGGUGAAAUGCGUAGAUAUUAGGAGGAACACCAGUGGCGAAGGCGGCCUUCUGGACUGUAACUGACACUGAGGCACGAAAGCGUGGGUAGCAAACAGGAUUAGAUACCCUAGUAGUCCACGCUGUAAACGAUGACAACUAAAUAUUGCCGCGAGGCAGUGUUGAAGCUAACGCAUUAAGUUGUCCGCCUGGGGAGUACGGUCGCAAGACUGAAACUUAAAGGAAUUGACGGGG
rnacentral:rRNA from 1 species